rnacentral:lncRNA from 1 species
AUUGACAGGCCACAGAAGGGUCAUAAACCAUACACGAAAAGAUAAAAUAUUGAUCUAAGUACUUAAUUUGCAUCUCUGAACCCCCACCCCCGGCUUGUUUUUUUAGGAGGGUGUCUAAAAAUGGUCGAUUACAGACAGCCGAGUACGCAUUUUACUUUCAAGGCGUGUUUACGUUGAUUGUUAAAGUCCUGAAAACGGAUAGAUGGAAACAAAAAUGUUUGAUAUAUCUGGCUUUAG